UACGUAGGGUGCAAGCGUUGUCCGGAUUUAUUGGGCGUAAAGAGCGUGUAGGCGGUUCGGUAGGUCCGUUGUGAAAACUCGAGGCUCAACCUCGAGACGCCGAUGGAAACCCUCGAACUAGAGUCCGGAAGAGGAGAAUGGAAUUCCUGGUGUAGCGGUGAAAAUGCGCAGAUAUCAGGAAGAACACCCGUGGCUAAGGCGGUUCUCUAGUACGGUACUGACGCUGAGACGCGAAAGCGUGGGGAGCGAACAGG
rnacentral:rRNA from 1 species